ensembl:snRNA U6 U6 spliceosomal RNA
GUGCUUGCUUCAGCAGCACAUAUACUAAAAUUGGAAUGAUACAGAGAAGAUUAGCAUGGCCCCUGUACAAGGAUGACAAGCAAAUUCGUGAAGCCAGACCCAAAGAA